ACCGGUCUUCGGUCAAGGGUAUACGAGUAGCUGCGCUCCCCUGCUAGAACCUCCAAACAAGCUCUCAAGAAUAUAUUUAAUUUACUGCAAUCAUUC
rnacentral:sRNA from 1 species